rnacentral:rRNA from 1 species
GAUGAACGCUGGCGGCGUGCCUAAUACAUGCAAGUCGAGCGAACAGACGAGGAGCUUGCUCCUCUGACGUUAGCGGCGGACGGGUGAGUAACACGUGGAUAACCUACCUAUAAGACUGGGAUAACUUCGGGAAACCGGAUCUAAUACCGUAUAAUAUAUUGAACCGCAUGGGUCAAUAGUGAAAUACGGUUUUUCUGUCACUUAUAGAUGGAUCCGCGCCGCAUUAGCUAGUUGGUAAGGUAACGGGCUACCAAGGCAACGAGGCGUAGCCGAACUGAGAGGCUGAUAGGCCACACGGGAGCUGAGCCAGGGUCAAGACUACUACGGUAGGCAGCAGUAGCGAAUCUGCCGCAGUGGGCGAGAGCAUGACGGAGCAACGCGGCGUGAGAGAUGAAGGUCUUCGGAUCGUAAAACUCUGUUAUUAGGGAAGAACAAAUGUGUACGUAACUAUGCACGUAUUGACGGUAACUAAUAAGAAAGCAACGGCUAACUACGUG